rnacentral:rRNA from 1 species
CCUACGGGUGGCUGCAGUGAGGAAUAUUGGUCAAUGGACGAGAGUCUGAACCAGCCAAGUAGCGUGAAGGAUGACUGCCCUAUGGGUUGUAAACUUCUUUUAUAUGGGAAUAAAACGUUCCACGUGUGGGAUUUUGUAUGUACCAUAUGAAUAAGGAUCGGCUAACUCCGUUACAGAAGCCGCGGUAAUACGGAGGAUCCGAGCGUUAUCCGGAUUUAUUGGGUUUAAAGGGAGCGUAGGUGGAUUGUUAAGUCAGUUGUGAAAGUUUGCGGCUCAACCGUAAAAUUGCAGUUGAAACUGGCAGUCUUGAGUACAGUAGAGGUGGGCGGAAUUCGUGGUGUAGCGGUGAAAUGCUUAGAUAUCACGAAGAACUCCGAUUGCGAAGGCAGUUCACUGGACUGCAACUGACACUGAGGCUCGAAAGUGUGGGUAUCAAACAGGAUUAGAUACCCCGGUAGUC